UACGGUGGGAGCAAGCGUUGUUCGGAUUUACUGGGCGUAAAGGGCGCGUAGGCGGUCGUGACAAGUCACUUGUGAAAUCUCCGGGCUUAACUCGGAACGGUCAAGUGAUACUGUCGGACUAGAGUACAGAAGGGGCAACUGGAAUUCUCGGUGUAGCGGUGAAAUGCGUAGAUAUCGAGAGGAACACCUGCGGCGAAGGCGGGUUGCUGGGCUGAUACUGACGCUGCGGCGCGAAAGCCAGGGGAGCGAACGGG
rnacentral:rRNA from 1 species